AUGUGGACGGAUGACCUUAAAGUUUCUGUUAUUACUGCUACCUUCCACUACAGAUUAGCUAGAGUAGCUCAUGUAGUUUCUGGGGUCCAAUUUUGCUUACUUUGUAUAUAUGGCGAUCCCUAUCAUCGUCAAACUAAUGCCAUCUGGAGUCAGAUUACCACUUUUGUGUAUGAUAACAUUGGUACUCCCAUGGUAUGUAUGGGUGACCUAAAUGACGUUCUGUAUGAUACGGAUGGUUGUAAUGGCAAUGUAAAUUACUUUCGUAUGAAUGCUUUU
rnacentral:rRNA from 1 species